UGAGGGACUCCUUGGGUAGCUGACCAC
rnacentral:piRNA from 1 species